CUUGAGGCGUGGCUUCCGGAGCUAACGCGUUAAGUCGACCGCCUGGGGAGUACGGCCGCAAGGUUAAAACUCAAAUGAAUUGACGGGGGCCCGCACAAGCGGUGGAGCAUGUGGUUUAAUUCGAUGCAACGCGAAGAACCUUACCUGGCCUUGACAUCCAGAGAACUUAGCAGAGAUGCUUUGGUGCCUUCGGGAACUCUGAGACAGGUGCUGCAUGGCUGUCGUCAGCUCGUGUUGUGAAAUGUUGGGUUAAGUCCCGCAACGAGCGCAACCCUUAUCCUUUGUUGCCAGCGGCUCGGCCGGGAACUCAAAGGAGACUGCCGGUGAUAAACCGGAGGAAGGUGGGGAUGACGUCAAGUCAUCAUGGCCCUUACGGCCAGGGCUACACACGUGCUACAAUGGCGCAUACAAAGAGAAGCGACCUCGCGAGAGCAAGCGGACCUCAUAAAGUGCGUCGUAGUCCGGAUUGGAGUCUGCAACUCGACUCCAUGAAGUCGGAAUCGCUAGUAAUCGUAGAUCAGAAUGCUACGGUGAAUACGUUCCCGGGCCUUGUACACACCGCCCGUCACACCAUGGGAGUGGGUUGCAAAAGAAGUAGGUAGCUUAACCUUCGGGAGGGCGCUUACCACUUUGUGAUUCAUGACUGGGGUGAAGUC
rnacentral:rRNA from 1 species